rnacentral:lncRNA from 1 species
CUUAUUUAUAUAUAUUUUGUAGCCCUUUAUUUGAUAGUAAACAAUUUUUCUUAUAAUUUUCUCUUUAUAUACAUACAUACCCAUAUAUUAGGAAUGAACUCUCAUUAUUUAUAAUAAACCUAUCAUUAAUUUGUUGAAAAUUAAUUGUUAGAGAUUUUUGAAUUAAGGAGCCAUGCAACGUUCACCGUGUGGAAUAUAGAAUAACCAUGACUAAAAAGGGAUCAUCCGAAACUAAAAAAUAUCUUGGAAUUUAUAGGAUGAUCAUGGUUGGGUGGCAAGGACUGCCGCAACAAGACCAGCGCAGCCGUCAAUCAUGGUGGAUAUGUAUAUGUAUUUCGGUGGUUAAGUUUUCCCCUUCCGGUUACUUCACCUUUUCCUAAGUCAUCCCCCUAUCCCCCUCAUAUGCAACUCUAUGUUAGCCUUUGUUGACAAAAAUUCUGGCGCAUAGCAUCUAUCCGAUUGAACGAUUGAACACGUUUUACUUGUUCUAACUGAAGUACGCAAUUUUUGAAUUUUGAAAAUAAAUUUUCCGGCAGUAGAUCAUUCCAAUGUAUUCCAGCCCUCCAAACUUCUUGGAUUAAUAUCUUUCCGUGUAUUAUUAAGUCCGCUAACAUUCCGAAUAGAUCAAAUACGGACAUGACUAGACUUAGUAGUUGGCGCUUAGUAGGGCACUUCAUCCCUUUCACAAUUUCUUUGUCUACACGGUUUAGCUUGUGGUCGAAUACAAACUUGUCGGACUUACUAUCCCAAUACAUGCCUAAAAUCGUGUCUGUUGAUUCGUUACUCAUUUGGACUGUUUGUUCCAGCAAGUCGUUCUCCUUUGUGUCAUUAAGCAAUUCCUGAAUGCGUUUGGAAUUAGAUACGAAGCCCCUGAGUUCAAAUUUCCCCAUAUUAUGUACUCUCUUGACUUCCUGACUGAUUUGAAAGGCUUUCUCUUCUGAUUCAAAACUAGCAACGAAGUCAUCUACAUAAUUUUUGGUUUGGAUGGCAUCGAUUACUUCUUUCCUGUAGUUUUCUGCGUUUUGUGGGUUGAUAUUCUUAAUGUAUUGGGCACAACAAGGAGAGCAUGCUGCACCAAAUAUAAGGACGGUCAUCUUGUACGUAUUCACUUCUGCAUUACGAUUGCAAUGUCUCCAAAGGAAUCUUAAUGAAUCCUGGUCCUCUUUUCGUACUUGCACUUGCAAAAACAUUUCCUUUAUAUCGGCGCAUACUGCAAAUUUCCCAUGGCGAAAUUUGAAAAGUAUCGUAGCCAAAGGUGGGUUUCAUCAGGUCCUUUUAAAAGUAUGGUAUUUAGGGAAACAAAAUUGAUCGUUGCGGCUGCAUCGAAAACCAAUCUUAUUUUUUUCGACUUUUUUAUGUUAACAACGCCGAAGUGCGGUAAAUACCAGGUCCUUGGUUUAAUCAGAGCGGCUUCUUGAUCUGACAGUUUGACAGCGUAUCCUCUUUGAACGAAAUUCAUAAUGGCUUUGUCAUAUUCGUCCAUUUUUCCCAAUCCGUGCAACCUCUGAAAAACCAUGUUGUAGCUAUCCGGGAAUUGAACCAUGUCCUGCUUCCAAAGGAGUCCAGUCUCGUAACAUCCUUCUAGUUUUCUAGUUGUGUUCUUUAAUAUAUCCCUUGCUCUAGAUAUAUCCGCUGCUUCCAAUGGUUUUACGGGUAUUUUUACUCCAAAGUUCUCCGUUGUGAAGUAAUCUGCUAUCAUCUUGUGGAUUUCUUGUUCUGAAUUUUCUUCUUUUGGACAUGCAUGUAAUCGCGUUGACCCAAUGCUUUGGCCUCCAUUCGAGCCAUACACAAGCCAGCCCAACGGCGUUUUAGCUGCAAUUAGAUUUUUAUCUAAAUAAACACUUUUGAUGCUGGUCAAAUGACAAUUAUUUAUUCCAAUCAAAAUCAUAGGAUUAGCAUCUGUAUAUCCGUUUAAUGAUAAAUUCUUUAUCCGUGUGUAUUUUUUAGCAAGCUUCUCAACAUCUACUGACUGUAAGGGUAGAUCUAAUUGAGGUACUGUGUUUCCAGUCAUUCGCAACCAUUUCUUGUCAGCUCCAGGAGAUCUAAUGCGAAAGUUGCAUUUCAUUGAUAAAAACUCCUUGGCGUGAUUUUCUAUCCAGUUCAAACUCAACUUUAUCUUUGGCUCCUAUACGCCCAACAUAUCUGCUAACUUCUCGUUUAUCAGUGAGGCAGAUGAUCCUCGUCUAAAAAUGCGUACGCUUGAAUUAUUUUGUUGUUUGGUCCCAUAAUUUCCACAGCUAAAACUUUGAACAACAAUUUGGGAGUGUUUAGCUUAAUUGUAUUUAUUGUAGCCUCCUGCGGCUCAAAUAUCUCUUCCCUUUUAGCAUUUUCCUGGUGUAAAGAAACAUGGUGCUGCUUCUUGCAUCCAUUUUUAUUGCAUUCGCGUUUGUACUUGCAAACUGUCAGAGUGAACUUACAUAACAGACAUUUCUCUAUGUUCUGUCUUGGUUCUUUCUCGGAAGAAUGUAAGAUUGAAUUGUGUGGACCUUUCGCCUGUUUAACGUGAAUUGUGCCUGCAAUUGUUGCUCUUGCGAUACUUCUGGCUAUGUUGCUCAGCCAAGUUGUCCAAAUUGGGAUAGGGCUGUAUUUGUGAUGAGUAUUCAAUCCAUUGCAUACGUUUGCUAAGUGGCAUCUUCCCUACCAAGCUUUCUAUUAAAGACGGAUUCUUAAAUGUUGAGCGGCAUUUGCAAUUUCAAAAAUAUUACUAAGUUAUCUACCUUGGUGGCAAAUACAACUAGCUUUUCUAAAUUAUUAUCUGUUACCGGUGCUAUUUGAUUGACCAUGCUCAUCUGACUGUUAAUUAACAAUUCUGGCCCUUCGUAAGUGAACUGCAAUCUUUCCAUAAUAAACCUAACAUUUACAGGAUUUAUUAAUAGACCCUUAACUUCUUCUUUCGCUGCUCCCUUUAGGCUCUUUUGCAACCUCAACAGGUUCUCCAAAUUUGUAUACCCAUAUGCAUUUGACGAUUCCCAAUACAUUGUUACAAUCAAACUCCGGUAAAUCUAUCAAUUUUCUUGUUUUUAUAUUAUGGGAGUGCUGUUGUUCAUACAAACGACUAUUAAUGUCACCACGCCAAUUGUCUCCACCAACAUUGUCAAACCUGUACAUACCGAUAUUUCUGUUGACAUCAAUGUUUCGAUAGGGUUGACUUCCAUAUGCUUCUUCAGAAAUGUGCCUCCAAUGGCACCAAGGCUAUUUGCGCCUCCAGCAGCGCCAGGAUUAUGUGUGCCUCCAAUGGCACCAAGGCUAUUUGCGCCUUCAGCAGCGCCAGGAUUUUGUCUGCCUCCAAUCGCAGAUCUAAUUUCCGUUUUGCACAUGUUCAUCAAUCGCUCUUCCUGACCAUCAAUUCGGCCAUUCAUGCUGGUUUUUUCUUCUUUUAUGCUUUUCAGCAUUUCCAUGAAAUCCCGAAAGAUGUCAUUCCUUGACUCCUUUUCUUUUGUUUCUACCAUUGUAGCACCCUCGUCGGAUUCCAUAUUGUCCUCCGAGUUCGAUCCAUGGAUUGACCUGCGGUCUCGAUCUCGGUGUAGAUGUACCAGCCAUGUUGCUUGAAUCGAAUUCUAUCUUUUUCUUGCUGCGCAGUUCCAUCUGUCAGUAUAUGUGUGGAUUUCACAACCACUCCGAAUUUGCACGCCUCUUGUGUGUGCCUGUAUUUGUGAUAUUCACGGCUACUUGGAGUUUGCACGCCUCUUGUGUGUGCUUGUGUUUGUGGAUUUCACAACUACUCCGCAUUUGCACGCCUCUUGUGUGUGCCUGUGUUAUGAAUUUCACAACUCUGAGUGCUUUUAUUUGAGCAUUUCACAUUGCUCUUCGACGACCAAAUUCACGAAAUUAAUAAAGAUCUUCGACGACCAACUUCAUAAAAUUAAUAAAGAUGUUCCCACUCCAUGUGACAAAAUAAUGACGACAACACCAAAAAAGAAUUGUUUAUACUGGAUAAUAAUUAAAACAAUUUAUUAAUUUGUAUUGUCGUGCCGCAGAUUCUUUUUUUUUUUUUUUUUGAGGUUUUAAGUUACCGCUCUACCCUUAGGUAGAGGGGAAUUAUUUGGCCACCCGCCUUUACAAGGGGGAAAUCGCUACGUCGUAAUAUGUAACUUGUUACAGCUUUGCUCCAAUACUUACCUGGCGUAGAGGUUAUGUUCCCCACGUGCUUGCUCAGAUUUAAUGCCAACUCACAAACUUAAUUCACAAAUUCCUUAAAACGAAAGACCGCAGAUUCUUUUUACACUACUUAUUCUAUCGAGAUGGGCGACAAUCGACAUACCACCCGAUGGUUUAUGAAAUAUAGAUAGUUAAUUGAAUAUCUAUUGCUAAUGAAAUAUCGAUAGCAGGCUGACAAUGGGGUGGGAACGUGUGGACGGUUAAAAUUUAAAUUUUUGAUUUUAUAUCAUAAUGAACCAGCAACAACGG